CUGCACUGCUCGCAGCGCGUCUCCCGCGGCCUCCCAGUUCUUGCCUAUUUUGGAAGAGAGCCGCAGCCCUUCUGCUGAGGCGCGCGCGCUGGCGCCUUUUAAAGGCAACCGGCGGAGUGGCGGCUCCGCCAGAGCCCGGGAGCUGCCCCCGCCCCCGGGCCGCGAGCCCCAUACGGGGCCUGGACCCGGGAGGCCCCGUCGCCGCACCCUAGGACCCCCUAUCUUAGCGCCCUCCACCCACUUUGGGGAAAUUUCAACCAUGGAGAAAGGAGGUUUGCCCUUGUCCCUCCCCCGACCCCCCGCCCCGACAGGGGAGACUCUUCUGCCAUAGGAGCCUUGGAAGGGAACAAGAUGCCAGGCCUAGCACGUUUGACCCUCUCUGGACAAGGCCACAGGGCGAAAACAGCAGGUGAGGACUUCACUGCCCGCGGGGCCACCCUGGGUCUCUGGAGACCCGCACCGCCUCCAACCUCCUACCUUAGCCUUUUUCUGGGUGGGCACAGCCUGAGGUCAGGUUAGGAUCUUAGUUGGAAGGCUCCUUAGCAGUUUCUCCAACCCCCUCGCUAAACUGAAAGGAAAACUGAGGCCCAGAGAAGAGUAGUGACUUGACCAGGGUCACAUGACAUGUUCCUGGAGAGCGUGGGCCAGAGCCCAAGGAUGCUGACUUCCUAGCCAGAGGUCAGUCCCUUGUUCCUUAACGUUGAGAAUAACUGGCACAGCGUGGCAGGCCAUGGUCCCUGACUUGCACCCGGGAGAGGGAACAGACAGCUCCUCUUCCCACCGUGGCACCAGCUGCUGCUUCGUCCCCAGCGGAGUCGAGACCUGGGUGGGCUCUCCUGGGUUGAUGAUCACUCUGGACAACCUUCUGGAUCCCAGACUCCACAACCAACCAACCAGGUUGCUGCUUGCAGACGUCUGCUUCCAUCAAAGGCUUCCUGCAGCCCACCAGCUCUCUGGAACUUUCUGGAACCAAACCUUUUCCAGACUGCUUACAAACGCCAGUCCUUCUGGGUGGAGGUUUGGCUGCAGGCUCUGGCAGGGCUCCCCAGAGCCAUGUGGACCCAGCGCUUUGGACUCCCCUGCCCAAUCCUGAUGGCACCAGCACUCCCCAUGCAAGCACUUUCAGGGGUGUUUGACCAAGGUGCACUGAGGACAGCCGUGAAGUACUUGACCAUGCCCAAGGAGCUGCGUAGGUUCCAGACAUCUCUGGACCCCUGCUCUAGAUCAGGGCUGGGGACAAGAGGUGGAUCCGAUCCAGCCCAGCUGUGGGCACCAAGUCUGGCAAAGGAGAGAGGUUCGUGCUCUGGAGCAGUUAGUCCUAGAGCUGUGAACGGCUUUUCCCAGGGGCAUCCAUUGCCAGGGCCAAGACUUCAAUGCACAGGAGGGGAAACUGAGGCUUCCCCCCAAGAGACAUUAUUUGCCAAGGUUACACAGCAAGUCAAUGCGUUGUUGAAACUAGGACUCAGAACCCUGCCUCCUGGCCCACUCUCUCUGCACCUUGAUCCCAGAGGCCAGCCUUUGAGAAGUGCACAAGGUCACUGCACUGUGGUCCAGGGACCUGAUUCAGGGUCCACCUCCACUAAAUGCUGGCUGUGUCGCUGGGGCCACUCUAUUCUCUGCGCCAGGCCACAGUCACUCCAGGCGGAUGAUCUCUGAGAGCCCCCCCACCCGCUCCAACUACCAUGGCCAACACAACUUUCCUGGAGAUUAUUUCAGAACCAUGGACAGCAGUCAGCGACACAUUCCUUCACUGUGGAUCUGCUCGGCUUGCUGGAGUUCAGCUGGACCCAACCCGUAGACACAUCUUCUCAUGGAGAAGGACGCUAAUAAUGUCUCCCAGCCAGGGCUAAGGGAUCAGUGGGUGAAUAAAAAAAGAACACUGUCCUGGAUUUUCA
rnacentral:lncRNA from 1 species